rnacentral:rRNA from 1 species
GUGCCAGCAGCCGCGGUAAUACAGAGGGUGCGAGCGUUAAUCGGAAUUACUGGGCGUAAAGCGCACGUAGGUGGCUUGACAAGUCGGUUGUGAAAGCCCCGGGCUCAACCUGGGAACUGCAUCCGAGACUGUCUUGCUAGAGUAUGGGAGAGGGAAGUGGAAUUUCCGGUGUAGCGGUGAAAUGCGUAGAUAUCGGAAGGAACAUCAGUGGCGAAGGCGACUUCCUGGACCAAUACUGACACUCAAGUGCGAAAGCGUGGGGAGCAAACAGGAUUAGAAACCCGUGUAGUCC